rnacentral:piRNA from 1 species
UUGCUGGAGGCCUGGUGGGGCUC